rnacentral:lncRNA from 1 species
ACAGAGGGAUCCGCCCCUUUCCUGGCUGCCUACACAGAAAGCAGCCAUGGGAGACUUGCCGAGGACUUUGUCCACCAAGUGAUGAAAGCAUGCAAAUGCCUCCGAAUCAAAGAUGAGGAAAACAAAAGCUCAGAAACUAUCUUGGAGUCAGCAAGUAAGAAGGAGCUUAGAAAGGCUUAACAUUUUCCAUGCUUCUGCCUGGCUUCAGAGCCCAUGCACUCUGCCUUACCACGGCAGGUGAAAGAUGGCCCCAAAUUCUUAGGUACAUCUCCUGCCAAAAGACCCCUCCUAUGGGUUCUGUGACUACUUCAAUGAAAAGAAUAGGGCAGAAGAGAUGAUGAGAACUUAACAUCUGGCAGUGUCCAUUUCCUGUCUUUUGAAACUUUCUGUUAAAGGCCUGAGCCACGUAUGAAGUGUGAAUCUUCACACCAUGCAAGAGAAGCCACAUGUUAUUGCUCUGGUCAACAAUCCCAGCUGACCCAACCAGAUAGUGUAUCAGGCAUAUGAGUAAAGCAUUCUUAGAUUCUUCAGUCCAGCCCUUCACCAGCAGAACACCAUUCAGCAACCCUUGUCGGCAUCAUGUGGGACAGAAGAACCACCCAGCUGAGCCUUAUCCAAAUUCCUGACCACAAAAUCAUAAGAGAGAAUGACUUCUUUCAUAUCGCUGAAUGGAGCAACAUGUUUGGCCAAGUUCCUGUCCCAGGGAGGAGAACCUUCAGCUUGCAACAAGUCCUGGCCGUUGGAGAAACCAUGAGACUAGACCUUGUGUAAAGCAGCUGAUUCUGCCAUGGGGGAAAUGCCCUUUUGUUUACUGAGCUUCUCCCACCCAUGCCUUGCUCCACUUUCCUCUAGAAGCCUGAGAUAUUGGGAAUAAGAGUCUCAGCCUCCAAGAGAUGGAGAACAUAUCAAGAGAGUCUGGAUUUCUGGGGUGAUUAAGUUCACUUGAUUCAUUAGCCUAAGUGCUCAAGUAAAUUUCAAAUCACAGUGUUAUGUGUGAUUGUCCACGUCCUUCCUCCAAACACUCCCCACCUCCCACCCAAGGGCCCAUGUAACUUGCUAUUGAGAACCUUUGAUUUCUUAGGUAUUUGGGUGAUAGGGUUUUGUUGCCUCUCCUGAAGAAAAUAGUGGCAAUUUGUACUCAGCUGUGGAAUAAAGGAAAUCAUGACAUA